rnacentral:misc_RNA from 1 species
GAUGAAGAACGUAGCGAAAUGCGAUAAGUAAUGUGAAUUGCAGAAUUCAGUGAAUCAUCGAAUCUUUGAACGCACAUUGCGCCCCCCAGUAUUCUGGCGGGCAUGCCUGUUCGAGCGUCAUUUCAACCAUCAAGCCCUGCUUGUGUUGGGGUCCUGCGGCUGCCCGCAGGCCCUGAAAACCAGUGGCGGGCUCGCUAGUCACACCGAGCGCAGUAGCACAUCUCGCUCAGGGCGUGCGGCGGGCUCCAGCCGUUAAAGCACCCACCUUUCGCAAGGUUGACCUCGGAUCAGGUAGGAAUACCCGCUGAACUAAAGCAUAUCAAUAAGCGGAGGA